AUUCCAUGGUGAGGAUAAUCUAAUAUGUAUCCUUGAAAACGCUCGCAUGCUUCUCGAAUUGUUUCUGUCUUCUGCUGUUGGAAACUGACAAUAUUUUCUCGUAAGGCA
rfam:Sorghum bicolor cultivar BTx623 chromosome 8, whole genome shotgun sequence.